GACGAACGCUGGCGGCGUGCCUAAUACAUGCAAGUCGAGCGAAUCAAAGGGAGCUUGCUCCCUGAGGCUAGCGGCGGACGGGUGAGUAACACGUGGGCAACCUGCCUGUAAGACUGGGAUAACUUCGGGAAACCGGAGCUAAUACCGGAUAAUUCCUUUCCGCGCAUGAGGAAAGGCUGAAAGACGGUUUACGCUGGCACGUAGAGUUGGGCCCGCGGCGCAUUAGCUAGUUGGUGAGGUAACGGCUCACCAAGGCAACGAUGCGUAGCCGACCUGAGAGGGUGAUCGGCCACACUGGGACUGAGACACGGCCCAGACUCCUACGGGAGGCAGCAGUAGGGAAUCUUCCGCAAUGGACGAAAGUCUGACGGAGCAACGCCGCGUGAGUGAUGAAGGUUUUCGGAUCGUAAAACUCUGUUGUUAGGGAAGAACAAGUAUGAGAGUAACUGCUCGUACCUUGACGGUACCUAACCAGAAAGCCACGGCUAACUACGUGCCAGCCGCCGCAGUAACAC
rnacentral:rRNA from 1 species